AAACCAGCACCUCAAGUGGUCAGGAGGAUUAUUGGGCCUAAAGCAUCCGUAGCCUGCUUUGUAAGUUUCCGGUUAAAUCCAUUAGCUCAACUGAUGGGCCGCCGGAAAAACUGCAAAGCUAGGGAGUGGGAGAGGUAGACGGUAUUCGGUAGGAAGGGGUAAAAUCCUUUGAUCUAUUGAGGACCACCUGUGGCGAAGGCGGUCUACCAGAACACGUUCGACAGUGAGGGAUGAAAGCUGGGGGAGCAAACCGGAUUAGAUACCCGUGUAGUCC
rnacentral:rRNA from 1 species